rnacentral:rRNA from 1 species
GAUGAACGCUGGCGGCGUGCCUAAUACAUGCAAGUCGAGCGAACAGACCAGGCGCUUGCUCCUCUCACGUUAGCAACGGACGGGUGAGUAACACGUGGAUAACCUACCUCUCAGGCUGAGAUCACUUCGAGAAACCGGAGCUCAUACUGGAUAAUAUAUUGAGCCGCAUGGUUCGAUAGUGAAUGCCGUGUUUGCUGUCCCCUCUAGCUGGAUCCUCGCCGCAUUAGUUAGUUGGUAAGGUAACGGCUUAGCAAGGCAACGAUGCGUAGCCGACCGGACAAGGUGAUGCGACACUGUGGAACUGAGACACGGUCCAGACUCCUACGGGAGGCAGAAGUAGGUAAUCGACGGCGAUGGGCGAAAGCCUGACGGAUCAACGCAGCGUGAAUGAUGAAGGUCUUCGGAUCGUAAAACUGUGUUAUGAGUGUAGAACAAAUGUGUAAGUAACUAUGCAUGUUGUGACGGUACCUAAUCAGAAAGCCACGGCUAACUACGUG